GAUGAACGCUGGCGGCGUGCCUAAUACAUGCAAGUCGAACGAGCUCUUCGGAGCGAGUGGCGGACGGGUGAGUAACACGUUGGUACCUGCCCUCUAGUGGGGAAUAACUGGCCGAAAGGUCAGCUAAUACCGCAUGUGAUCGCAAGAUCAAAGCAGAAAUGCGCUAGAGGAGGGGCCUGCGUCCCAUUAGCUAGUUGGUAGGGUAAUUGCCUACCAAGGCGACGAUGGGUAGCUGGAUCGAGAGGUUGACCAGCCACACUGGGACUGAGAUACGGCCCAGACUCCUACGGGAGGCAGCAGUAAGGAAUCUUCCACAAUGGACGAAAGUCUGAUGGAGCAACGCCGCGUGCAGGAUGACGGCCUUCGGGUUGUAAACUGCUUUUAUAUGGGAAGAUUAUGACGGUACCAUAUGAAUAAGGACCGGCUAACUACGUGCCAGCCGCCGCAGUAA
rnacentral:rRNA from 1 species